CAAAGGAGCAAUCCGCUGAAAGAUGGGCUCGCGUCCGAUUAGGUAGUUGGCGGGGCAACGGCCCACCAAGCCGACGAUCGGUAGCCGGACUGAGAGGUUGAACGGCCACAUUGGGACUGAGACACGGCCCAGACUCCUACGGGAGGCAGCAGUGAGGGAUAUUGGUCAAUGGGGGAAACCCUGAGCCAGCAACGCCGCGUGAGGGAAGACGGUUUUCGGAUUGUAAACCUCUGUCCUCUGUGAAGAUGAUGACGGUAGCAGAGGAGGAAGCUCCGGCUAACUACGUGCCAGCAGCCGCGGUAAUACGUAGGGAGCAAGCGUUGUCCGGAUUUACUGGGUGUAAAGGGUGCGUAGGCGGCUUUGCAAGUCAGAAGUGAAAUCCAUGGGCUUAACCCAUGAACUGCUUUUGAAACUGCAGAGCUUGAGUGGAGUAGAGGUAGGCGGAAUUCCCGGUGUAGCGGUGAAAUGCGUAGAGAUCGGGAGGAACACCAGUGGCGAAGGCGGCCUGCUGGGCUCUAACUGACGCUGAGGCACGAAAGCGUGGGUAGCAAACAGGAUUAGAUACCCUGGUAGUCCACGCUGUAAACGAUGAUUACUAGGUGUGGGUGGACUGACCCCAUCC
rnacentral:rRNA from 1 species